UCGCGCAGCACGGGAGAGAUCGUCCAUGGCGACGACGCCGACGGAGCAACCGCCCCGGAAACUCUCAGGCAAAAGGACCGUGCAGCAAGA
rnacentral:ncRNA from 1 species